AGAAAGGUGAUACUAUUUUUAUUGGUCAAUAUCUGUUUACAAGAAAUGAAACAACUUCUGUGCGGCGAGGAAUUAGAUCAAGAGAGUAAGAUUCCAUCGCCAAAAGAGUUAAAAAGUAGAUCUUUUGAAGCGAAUAAUAGAGCAGUGUGAUUUUUUUUAUAAUAGAGACUUGAUGUAU